AUGAAAGAAAUGAUAUAUGAAAACUACUACCUAGAUUUUCCAGGUGCUAUUGCAAAAUGCCUUUGUGUGAAAACAUUUCAAAAUGGAUGUAAAGUCCAAGAAGAGUCUCUGGUUUUAAAAGGAGCAUUUGUGGGAUACUCUGAUUUUUCACGAGGUACCACGCUGGAAAAACCUAUGAAGAAUUUCAUCAUUAUUAUUAUUAUUAUUAUUAUUAUUACAAAAGGCUUUAAGUGUUUGUAUCUGAACCGUAUGUUCUCAGUUAACACAUAUUCUUUUGAAAUUGCUACUUAUGAGCUGGAGCAUAGUAGAAAAUACUGUUUGAAAUACAUUGUACAAAAAAAAGUAAGGUGUAAGUAGAUUGCUGGUAAUUUAGGGAAUGUGAUAUGUUAUUUAGUUAACCCAUCUCUCUCCCUUUCAACAGCUAUAUAUUAACAACAUCUAAAGACAUCAGUCUUUAGACUGAUUUGAUCUAUAUAUUGGCAGUUUUAUCAGAUCUAGUGAGUCUGAGCUAGAGGGAAGGAGAUUUUUUAUUUUAUUUUAUUAUUAUUUUAUUUUAUUUUAUUUUAUAUUUAAUAAUAAAUUUAUUUUUUAUUGGCAUUCAAUUUGCCAACAUACAGAAUAACACCCAGUGCUCAUCCUGUCAAGUGCCCCCCUCAGUGCCCAUCACCCACUCAUCCCCACUCCCCACCCUCCUCCCCUUCCACCACCCCUAGUUCGUUUCCCAGAGUUAGAGUCUUCAUGUUCUGUCUCUCUUUCUGAUAUUUCCUACCCAUUUUUUCUCCCUUCCCUUAUAUUCCUUUUCACUAUUAUUUAUAUUCCCCAAAUGAAUGAGACCAUAUAAUGUUUGUCCUUCUCCAAUUGACUUAUUUCACUCAGCAUAAUACCCUCCAGUUCCAUCCAUGUUGAAGCAAAUGGUGGGUAUUUGUCAUUUCUAAUGCCUGAGUAAUAUUCCAUCGUUAUACAUAAACCACAUCUUCUUUAUACAUUCAUCUUUCGAGGGAAGGAGAUUUUAAAGAGAAAGAAAUUCUAAGCCCAAUAAAUGUAAUUUCAAAUGUAGAAUUGACUAAUUUAAUUAAUUAUGACUUCCUUUCCCUGAAUUUUGAGAGGUUUAGUACACAUUAUGGGGAACAAUUUUUAGGGGAUUUGUGCCUCAUAUAGAAGCUUGAGUAUAUGGCUUACCAUAACUCUUCUAUCUUGUUAUUUUACCUAAAUAAGGAACCUCACAUCAAAAGGCUUUGAUAUAUUCUAGCCUACUUCAAUUCUCAUCAUUCCCUUCCCUCCAUAAUCUCUGUAUCACAUAUACCAAAUGACUGAUAGCAAAUAUUAUAGUCCAAAUGCAGCUUUUUGGAGUAAAGGAGAGGUCUUUAAAGAUGAUGUUUUAAGAGACCUCAAAUUCUCCUCCUCCCAUGGGUACCCCAAAUUAAGAGCUACAGACAGUGCAACUCCCUCUAAAAGAAAACAAGAAACUGAGUAACUUUACCCAAUGCACAAAUGAGAAAAUAUCCACAUUAAAUCAGAAGAAAAACUAAGACACAACUUUGCUAUAAACCCCACCCUGGGCACAGGGACAUAUAGUUGGGAGGGAUCCCCUGGCUCCCAGCCUCUCCAUGAGAAGUGAAAGCUUUAUACCCACAUCCAAUGUCCCAACAUUUAAUAGUCCCACUAAGGGGCUGACUUCCAAAUCCUCCCCCUCCAAAGCCAAUUAGUCUUAAAUCACAAGAUUCAUAAGACUAUAGCAAAUAAAAUAAGAGCUCCAGCUAUCACACCAGAGCUCAGAGCAAAGAUAACAGAAAAGCCCAUCUCUCAGUCUUGUCUUUUGUACAAUUUAGAAACCUAAGUGUCAGGCUUCUGAUUUUGCAUGCUUCUAGGAGCUGACUGGGAUCCUCCAUGUACACCAGAGAAGCCUAUGGAUAUGUCCCCAACUCUUUCCCUCCCGUUGACCCCAAAUCACCAAUAUCUCCCGGGAAAGAGUUUGUACAAAUGCUGCACCCCAGUUUUUGCAACUGUAUUCUUAGGAAUGUAUUCCCACAUCAUCUGAUUCUGAUAGCCAACAGUGUUUCCAUUCAGCAAUACCAUAGGAUUUUAAAAUCAUUUCAAGCAUAUUUUCCAACUAUAAUGGUAUGAAUCUAGAACUCAAAAGAAGACAAAAACUUCACAAAUUUGUGGACAUUAAACAACAUGUCCUUGAACAACAGUAGGUUAAAGAUGAAACUCAGAAAUACCUCAAAAAAUAUCUUGAUAGAAAAAUGGAAACAAUGUAUCAAAAGUUAAGGAAUACAGCAAAAACAAUUCUAAGUAAGAAAUUAUAGUGAUAAAUGUUACCAUUAAGAAAAAAAAGAAAUGAAAUAAACAGCUUAACUUUACACCUCAAGGAACCUGAAAAGAAAAACAAACUAAGCCCAAAUUUGGUGGUAGGAAGGAAUUAACAAAGAUUAGAGCUGAAAUAAGUGAAAGAGACACUAAAAAGAAAAUAAAUAAGAUCAAUCAAACUAAAACCCGGUUUUCUGGGAAGAUAAAAGACAAAUCUUUAGCUAGACUUACCAAUACAAAAACAGAGAAGACUUAAAUAAAUAAUAUUACAACUGAAAGAAGAUACAUUUCACUUGAUAUUACAUAAAUAUAUAGAAUCAUAAGAGGCUACUACGAACAAUUAUAUGCCAACAAUUUGGACAUCCUAGAAGUAAAAAGUAAGUUUCUAGGACACAACUAAUCAUGACUGAAUCACAAAUAAAUAGAAAAUCAGAAUAGACUAAUUGCUAUCAAGGAGAUUAAAUCAGUAAUCUAAAACCUCCUCAAGG
rnacentral:lncRNA from 1 species